GGAGAAACCGCCCCGCACCGCCCGCCGGUCGUGUGCGUCGGUUGACUCCGCCGGGUCCCCCCUUGGUGGCAGAGGCGGGAUGCUGCGGGAGGGGAAAGCCGUGGUGGGGCGUGCGGGUACGGCGGUGAAGCCCUGUGCCGUUCGGCGUCGUUCGGGCUCGGGCUGCAUUGGUGCGUCAGUGAGACUUCGCUGUGCAAGUCCUGCUGCAGUUUGCGCCCUGCGCUCCUUGUCCUGCGCGGCGGGAAGCUGAGCCACAAACAGACCUGUGCGUUUCCCUUACGUGGUGCGCUCGUCGGGCCGACCCGUCACAUCAACCCAUCGCACCCACCAUGCUGACCGCGGAGGGCGGCGUGGCAGUCCGCUCUCCGGAGCGUUCCCUGCGUCCCCGGCUCUUUGCAUGGGGCUCUACAAGCUCAGAAUGAGUCAGUGCUCCCCGAGGGGGGCUGGGGCACACUGGGGAGGCAGAGGGAUGGGGCGGCACAGUGCUGCGCUCCCACUGUGAAGAACUGUGGGCACACCUGCAGAGCGUCGUCCCUCAUCCAGCAAGGCAAGAGUAUCGCCCUUGGACUGGAGCAAAACCAUCCAAGCCCAUAAAGACAAAGCAAGGCUUCAUUAUCCCAGAUGACCAUUUUGUCCAGGAGACAAGUUACAAGGCGGACUAUAAGCAGAUCCCGGAGGUGAAGACCAGGUUCUCCCCCAACCCUUCUGCUGUUUUCCAGGCGCCGUCGCGGAUCCUCAACGUGUGACGCCGGGCCCUCCUCGCGCCGGGCAGCGCCACAGCGGUGCUUCCGACCGGACGUGUCACUAUGCAAUCUUCAGGAGGAGCGCUGGGAUCAGAGAACCGAUGUCAGCAGGAGCAGCUCCUGGGGCUGGGCGCUCUCCUUCUGCGAUUGUGCAGAUUGUGAAGCGCUCCAUUCAGAGCCAGCAAACACGCUCCGCUGUGCGCAGCGGCAGGGAGAAGUCACAAACAGGAGCGAGAACUGAUAGCAAACCCCCGGAGCAGCACGGAGCAGGGAGCACCUGCCUGACUUGUCAGCUUGCAGAGCUGCCUCCUGCACGCACCUCAGCACCAGAGCUCAGCACGGGAGGGCUGCUCUGCUCCGGACCCACAGGGUUGCUGGAGCCGCUGGCAGCUCCGCAGCGGCUGCGUUGGGGGGCUGUGUGUGCAGAGCGGUGAGCGCACGCUGCGCUUCGGAGGGUGUAGAAUACUGGUGGGUUGGAUGUAAAUAUUGCACCCGGAUUUUACCUAAAGCAGUUUGUGAUCCUUUAAGGAAGAGGACGUGCUUCUACUUUUAAUAAAUGUUAACUCUUUGCAUACGCAAGGUGGAAAGUGUUGCCUUGAAAUGCCUACGUUUCUGCCUGCCUAUCGGUGAUGUUAAUGUUAGUGGCUAGGAGCAACCAGAAGUGAAUGUUACUUAGAAACUCUUCUUAAAGAAAAACAUUAACAUGGAAUGUAUGACACCCCUCAUUGCUAA
rnacentral:lncRNA from 1 species